GAAGUCAAAAGUCAUUAAGAAUGGAUGGCAGAGUUGACUGAUGGGCGUGGGUCUUUGUGGCUGUACCAGCUACAGGCUGUUACCACAGUUACUGGACACCAGGGCAUAGGAUGGAAAUCAGUCCAGGAAUAAAGGGAGCUUGAAGAAUGGACUUCUUCAUGCUCCAUGAUCUUGAACCAGACUAGCUCUGAUAUCUUCCUGUUACCAUGCCCCUCAGCUCCAUCGCACCUCUACCCUCAAACCUUAUGCUUCAGUCAUUUGAGCUGUGGUCACUUCAAAGGACACCUUGGCUGGACCUGGCAUAGUAUUUGCAAUCCGGAAGAGAUUCAACAAAUAUAUGUUAAAGGAAUAUGGACAUCCAUGAUAAUUAUGUUUGCAAUAAUUGCUUGCAGUUAUGCGUGACUCUUUACU